CAGGGGCUGCUGAUGACCCACCAAUUCCAACCUGCAUUCGUCUGUUUGUUGGACCCCCCACCCAAAUAGCAGGGAUGCCAUCCAGAUUACCAUAUUAUGUUUACUUGCCAUUUCUCUUUAGACUCUUCCAGAUGGUGAGCUUCUCAAACUGUCCUUGUUUUGGUGACCUUGACAGUUUUUAGGAAGACUGGCCAGAGUCUAUGGAAGCAGAGCUUAUUCCUCGGAGCCCAGUAAGGCUCUGGGAGCCCCAGCCCCGAGUUCUGACCAUGAAGCUCUAUUUGGGUGAGUCCAGAGUUCCUAAGGCACACAGCAGGUGGUCUGGACCCUAUGGCUUGAUGAAAAUACCCACCACAAACUGUGAUGUCCCCUCCACCUACUUGGAAAAAUAUCGCGUUGCCAUCAAGCCGCCAGAAGUUGGUUACAGGGUAUCCGCUGUGCCCUCGACAGGGAAUCAACUCCAAAGCGGAAUGACAGUUGGGACAUGCUUUCUCUGCCAAGCCAGCGGGAGAGAGAAAUAUUAAUAACAACUAGGACCCCAGGUACUUUUGAAGGAAGAAAGGGAAAACAAUUCCUGGGGAAAAGGGAACUCGGGGCCACGAGCUACCCCCUGCCCGCCACCCCCCCCCGCCCCGGUCCUGGCCUGGGGUGCUCACUCUGCUGCUUCAGGCGAGCCUUGUCACAGAUGGCAGGCCGCAGCUGCAGGCGGGAGCCGUCGGGCAGGGCGCAGGCCCGAGCGCACACCACCACACCCAGGCACGACUUCUUGAGGAUGUGGCCGUUGUGGUUGUUGGUGUUGCGCAUGGCCCAGCCGCUCAGGUGGCGCUGAGCCUUCUUCUCAUCGCUGCGGUAGAUGAAGCGCACGUAGCCGUCGGGCCACUCACAGAAGUGGUCGAAGUGGGCCGGCUCCUGGGAGGGCGCACAAAAGGGAAGGAUGGGCGAGUGGAUCAAGCCCCACCCGGGCACACCACGCUUUUCAUUUUUCCCAAGCACAUUAGAAUAAAAACUGGUUCUUUUUAAUUCCAGAAGUGUCCUAAGAGCCACAAACUGUGCCAUCACAAAACAUCACCCAUCCCGUCUGUGCAUGCUGUUCUGACAACUGGCUAUUCAUUGAUGUUUAUAAAGUUCUUAUCUUCUAAAUGCUGUACGUGUCCUAGGUCAUCUAGCCUUCCCAACUCACACAGAAAAUAGGUACUAUUAUAAUCUGUAGUUAAUCCAAUAGGACACGGAGGUCAGAGAGGUCAAAUGACUUGCCCAAGGUCACACUGCUAGUAAGAACUGGCUCUAGGAUUUGAGCCCUAGCAGUUUGACUCCAGAGACUGUUUUCCUUACCAUCACGGUAGACCACUUCUGGGUACGUUUAAAUGUUAAGUUACAAAUGAAAACAUUUUCAAAUUAAGCAUCAACGUGCCAGGGCAAAAAGCGAUUGCAAUGCUCUAUCACUGAAAUGCAAUUCAGUCUGUAAAUAUCUCCACUUUGAUCCAGUGUUUUUUCUUCUAAAGCUCUUGCCUCUACCCCAAACCUGUCAGUUACAUCAGCAGUGAUACCCAGAGCAACAUUAGAGAGACAAGAACAGCUUCCCUUGCUCCUCCCAACUUAGCUCUCCCAGUUUAUAGGGGCACGGUGAUGAAGGACCUAGCUAUAAAGGUAAACCCAAGCAUGGGGUGGAACCCGCUGAGCCCUGGACCUCUCCCCAAAGCAAUGUGGAUUGUCGCUCUUCUCAACAAAGAGCCACCUGGCUGAAAUAAUAAGUUAUAUCUAAAAAACUGAGCACUCCUUCAAUAUCUAUCAUUGGUGGUCUUUGCCCAUGAUAUGCAUUAUCUAUACUGCAAUGUCUUUCUUGUACAGAAGUUUAAUAUAAAAUUGCCCUGUACUAAGCACUUAAUAUUUAGCAGGUACUCUCUAGGGCAGGGGUCAGCACACUAGGAAUCCGGGGCCCAAUCCAGCCUGUCACUUGUUUUAGGACAGUCUACGAGCUAAGAGUGACUUUUAUAUUUUUUAAUGGUUGGGGGAAAAUCCAAAGAAUUAGAUUUCAUGACAUAAUGGAAAUUAUCUAAAAUUCAAAUUUCAAGACCCAUAAAUAUGGUUGUAUUGGGACAUGGCCAAACACAUCUGUCUAAAUACUGGCUAUGGCUGUUUUCUCUCUAUGGCGGAAUUGGGCUUUUGGCACAGAGACAGCAUGGCCUGCAGAGCCCCAUUAUGGAGUCUCAGUGAUCCUCACGACAACCUUCCAUGAUGGGCACGCAUACUCUUAUUUCAUAGAUAAGGAAGUGGAAGUUAGAGAGAGAACCUUCUAGACUGGCAUACCUGGGAUUCAAACAGAUCUGUGGCAGCCAGGUUCCACUGGCUUUCCUGCUAUGGUAGAGGCUCAGAAGAAUAUUAUCACAGUCAUAAGCCAUUUGCACCUUCUCUCCCUCCCACCACCCCAGGGACAUUAGAUCGAACAUUCUCAGUCGGGUAAUUCAGGCUUGGAUACAUCAGUUAGUAUUAUGCAUUCUAACAAUAAUAGGUAAAUGGACACUUUUGUUUCUAAAACCCACAGGGAUAUUGUUGAAAUCAUUGUUAUUACUAAUAAAUAAUCAUUUAUCUUUUCUCAGAAAUAUUAUAAUUGCCAUAAAUUAAUACAUUGACUUAAGGUAAGCCACAAAUGAAAUAUAUAAUGAUGUACUAUUAACUCCCAAGUUUAUGUUAAUGCUAAUAUCUUUGUUUUUAAAGUGAACAUUUCAAUCUAAGGAUUUAGUUAGACAAUCUUCCAGAAGAGAGUAUUCCGUUAGUGUCCCCCUAUGAGGGUAGAGAAUCACCCCCCAUGUCUCAUACCUGCUACUAAAGCAGCAACACUGAAAAUGAAGCCACUGAGACCCUAUUUUUAAAUCAAAACAAAAAUGGAGGAUUCAAGGAUUGGGUUGCUUCUAUUCUAAAGCGUACAUGUACACAUUCAGACAAGCAUGCAAACACUGAACAUGACAGAAAAUCUGGCUGAUAGUUUAAGAUUGUUAUCUAGUUCAAGAUUGUUAUUUAGUUCCACCACUCGAUGACAGGUCAUCUUAGCCUGCAACUAAGGCAAAUUCAGGAACUAUCUCAAGGUCAUGCAGCCAGUUUAGCUCUUUCUCCUUCAGUCAGCUGGAGCAAGGCUAGGAUCCUGUUUCUCCACUUCUGUUUCCCAGUACACCUGCCUUUUU